CUACGGGAGGCUCCAGUGAGGAAUAUUGGUCAAUGGACGCAAGUCUGAACCAGCCAUGCCGCGUGAAGGAAUGACGGCCCUAUGGGUUGUAAACUUCUUUUAUAUACCAAGAAAGUUAGCUAUGUAUAGUUAUUUGACGGUAGUAUAUGAAUAAGGAUCGGCUAACUCCGUGCCAGCAGCCGCGGUAAUACGGAGGAUCCAAGCGUUAUCCGGAUUUAUUGGGUUUAAAGGGUGCGCAGGCGGAAUAAUAAGUCAGGGGUGAAAUCCUACAGCUCAACUGUAGAACUGCCUUUGAUACUGUUAUUCUUGAGUUAAGUUGGAGUAGGCGGAAUGUAGCAUGUAGCGGUGAAAUGCAUAGAUAUGCUACAGAACACCAAUCGCGAAGGCAGCUUACUAAGCUUAUACUGACGCUCAGGCACGAAAGCGUGGGUAGCGAACAGGAUUAGAUACCCCUGUAGUC
rnacentral:rRNA from 1 species